rnacentral:lncRNA from 1 species
UCAUUGAAGAGGAAUAAAAAAAUUGGUAGUUUUCCUAUCAAGUACCUGGAUGUUUUCUUGUCCCUCAAGAGAAUAAAGAGAGAACCUUCCUCUACUGGAGAAAAUGAAAAAGAGAAUCUCAGAUUGGAAAAGCAAAUUGUUGUCCUCCGGAGGUCGACUAAGGCUUCUUAAACAUGUUCUAGUCUUCCUAUGCACAUGUGAAAGUUUUUUCCUGAAUUAGCCGGCCCACACUUCGGCUACUAAUAAUGGGAUAA